GGCGCAGGGGGCGGGGAGUGCGUAGAGGCGCGUGGUUCUUCGUGUCUAAGAGAGGGGGACUCCUCGCUUCGGACUGGUGGUCGACCCCGGCUUGCGGGGUGACGCGGGGGUCUCCGCUGUCACCGGCUCCAGCCUCAGCAGCAGGGCCCCGGACAGGGGAGGCGGAGGGGGCUUGGGCCGAACUCAGGCUCCGACGCCGGGGCGGGGCUGCGGCAGGGUUUCCUCAGAAAACGAGAACUUCCCAGCCCUCGGCGAUUAGAAGCGGGCAGGCAGCGGUUGGCCAUUUCCUCCUGGUCGGUGAGAGCACUCAGAGCGCGCUCAGUUUGGGGGAUCCAGGUGAGUUCACGGGAAGAUCUGCGUGCGGGAUGAAUGCGUGCUGGUUUCUUUUCUGCCUGGUUCCGUGUACCCGAAGUGUAAUUGUUGGGGACUUGGAACUUUCCGGGUUUCUUUGGUUUCAUUUACUCAACCAUGUAACUUCUGAAUGCCGACCUGCUUAAGACCCUGUUUUGUAUGGAUAUAAAUAAAAGGGGUCUGUCCCCAAGGAGA